AGAGUUUGAUCAUGGCUCAGGAUGAACGCUGGCGGCGUGCCUAACACAUGCAAGUCGAGCGAUUCUCUUCGGAGAAGAGCGGCGGACGGGUGAGUAACGCGUGGGUAACCUGCCCUGUACACACGGAUAACAUACCGAAAGGUAUGCUAAUACGAGAUAAUAUACUUUUAUCGCAUGGUAGAAGUAUCAAAGCUCCGGCGGUACAGGAUGGACCCGCGUCUGAUUAGCUAGUUGGUAAGGUAACGGCUUACCAAGGCGACGAUCAGUAGCCGACCUGAGAGGGUGAUCGGCCACAUUGGAACUGAGACACGGUCCAAACUCCUACGGGAGGCAGCAGUGGGGAAUAUUGCACAAUGGGCGAAAGCCUGAUGCAGCAACGCCGCGUGAGCGAUGAAGGCCUUCGGGUCGUAAAGCUCUGUCCUCAAGGAAGAUAAUGACGGUACUUGAGGAGGAAGCCUCGGCUAACUACGUG
rnacentral:rRNA from 1 species